UAGGACUGGCUCUGGGUUCUCUCCCCUGGUGCGGCGCUGGGGCCGGCCGGAUAAGGCGGCGGAACCCCGCACAGCGGCCCGCGUUGUGCGGGGAGGACUGUGCGGAGGGACUCGGGGCCGGCGUGUCUGGCUGGCAGCCGGUGAGACGGGGCCGGGCUCGCUGGGUCGGGCCGGCCGGCGGCGGGAGCGGGGCGCCAUGGCCGUGGACAUCACGCUGCUGUUCAAAGCCAGCGUGAAGACGGUGAAGACCCGGAACAAGGCGCUGGGGGUCCCGGCCGCCGAGAGCCCCAGGGAUGAGCUGCUCAAGCGGGGCAGCCAGCGGCCCAAGAGCGACUUCUCCUGCCGGGCCCGCGAGGUGAUUACUAAUAUUGGGAAACUGAAGGAUUUUCUUCUGCAACACAGAAAGGAUUACAUUAAUGCUUACAGCCAUCUUAUGUCGGAAUACAUUAGGAUGACAGACACAGAACGUGAUCAGAUUGAUCAAGAUGCUCAGAUAUUUAUGAGGACAUGUGCUGAUGCCAUUCAACAGCUGAGAACAGAAGCACACAAGAAUGUCCAAUCCCCACAAGUGAGGGAGCACAGAGCAGCCGUCUUGGACUUCACUGAAGAUUAUUUAAAAAGAGUGUGUAAGCUGUACUCUGAACAAAGAGCCGUCCGAGUCAAACGAAUGGUAGAUAAGAAAAGAUUGUCCAGGCUUGAACCUGAACAGAGCAAUAAAGCUCAAGCACCCUCUUUCCCAGAAAAAAUUGUGCAGAAUUCUUCAGAAGAAUCUAAUGAAAAACUUGCUUAUGAGGAAAACAAAGAUCAGAAUCUGACAGAUGCCCACACUAACUUCGGGCUAUGGGGGGAUGGCAAAGGUGAAGAUGAACUGUCACCUGAAGAAAUUCAGAUGUUUGAACAGGAAAACAAGCGACUUGUUGGUGAGAUGAAUAGCCUAUUUGAUGAAGUGAGACAAAUUGAAGGGAAAGUGGUUGAAAUCUCCAGACUUCAAGAGAUAUUCACAGAAAAAGUCUUGCAACAGAAUUUGUCAUUGUCUUUAUGGAACUCUUGCUCAACAGGACACCGAAAUUGACAAUAUUCAUCAGUUAGUUGUGGGUGCAACAGAAAAUAUCAAAGGCGGUAAUGAAGACAUAAGAGAGGCAAUCCAAAAAAACGCUGGAUUUCGAGUAUGGAUCCUUUUCUUCCUUGUAAUGUGUUCAUUCUCCUUGCUUUUCCUGGACUGGUAUGACAGUUAAUAAAACAAAGCCUGUGUGCUAUGUUUGUAUAAGAUUUAAACAUUCCUCCUCUCAAAGCAGGAUACGCUAUCUGCAAAUGUCAUACUGUUGUGACUGGAAAAUAUUUUCUAGCAAAAAAAAAGUAUGUGCACGUACGUACAAAAAAGUGUGUGUCUGUGUAUGUACCAUUCUUGCAGUGAAUAGAUCAACACCAUUUAAGUCCAUUCCGCAGCUUCAUAAAACAAAAGCUAAAAAUUUUGAAUCAGCUAGCAAGUAAAAAGCAGGCUCAAGUUUAGUAAGUUGCAAGAAAUUUUCAAUAAAAUGUAAAUUAUACAUUUAAGAAAUUAUAGCCUACCACACCAAUUAGUGGAAAGUUCACAAUGUAGACAAGAUGUACAAUGAAGAAAAUUGUUGCAAUGCAGACAGGGUUGAGCUUUUCUAUCUAUUGUCUCAGGUUUCUUUUUUAGUCACACCACUCAUUACAAAUUGUAAUAACCUUGUACAUCUGUGACAGACACACCUAAUCCUGUAGAAUUAGUUUGGGCAGGGGUCAUUUGUAUUUGUUGGAAAGUAAUUCUCUUAAACACUGUUGUAAAGCUUUACUUAUGCUAGGUUCCAAGAAGUGUCAUAUAUGUUAAAUUAUAGUAAACAUGUGAUGCAACUGAUGUAUUGAGAUGUUGGAGAAAGCUGAAGAAUAGAUAACAUGGAAGCCAAACUUUUUGAAGUAUUAAAGUUGUUAAUUACCUGUUGAAAAAACAAACCUCAGAAGCUGUUGGAGCCAGGAGCUUAUGAACCACCUCCUGUUGAAGUCAGUGGGAAAACUCCCUUUGACUUCAAGGGCUGCAGCAUCAGUCACCAAAUGAGUUUUAUGUUUCCAGCUGCCUGAAAUUUUUGAAUGUUUUCUUUUGAGGAUAGUAAUUAGUCUUACUGUUCAGCAGAUGGCUGUACAGUGAAGUUGUUUACUGGUCUAAGGUUAAGGGAAAAUAUAUUUAAAUCACAUCUCUGGAGGAUAAUAAUGAAAAGCAAAUCUUAUAAAAUUUGAAUUCAUGUUUUUGGUAAAAAAUUUUGAUUUAAAAGUUCAUUUUAUUGUGUGUCUUGAAAUGUAUGUCAACAUACUGUAUGCAACAGGCAAUAUCAUCCUUAUUCUUUAUUUUGCAUGAAGUGAAAAUGUCAAAAGUUACAUGUGAAUUAAUUUACAUUCAAUAAAGUACAUGUCUACUAGCAGACAAAACAUGGUAUGUUUUAAUGUGUUUACAUGAGUCUGAACUUUUUUAAAAAUGCAAAGAAAAAUUUGGCACAUAAUUUAUUGCUUUUUAUGCAUUCCACACAGCAUAAUAAACAAAGCUUUUUAUAGUUCAUAACUAUAUAAUGCACACUCAUUGUUAUGUUUGGUAUCAAACCUAUAGAAUUGAGAAGCAGUGGCCAUUUUGUACUUUAUUGGUAUGUAAAGUUUUGAUACUAAAUACAUUAAUAAUGGAUUAGAAGAAAACCCAAAAGUGGAGCUGACCAAGUUUGUUCUACUACAGAACUAGACAAAUAACCAAUGGCUUCCUUUCAUUUUUGUAUAGUGCCUACAACAAUGGAACUUUUGACAUGUCCACUAGAAAUAUCACAUUCAAGUAAUAUGAAAGGAAAAGUGAAUCUCAUACCUAAAAGCUUCACACACUUAUUUUGUCUAACUGGCAGAUUAAUAAAAUUAUUUUUGUAAUGCAUAUUUAAGAUUAAAUGAAAAAACAUUGUUUCAUACAAAAUAAGAAAUUUGUCAAUACAAUGAAACAUCAAACUUGAACGUGCACCCACAAUACUAGGCUUGUCUACAUCUUUUUUUCCUCCAAAAUCAUACAUAAACAGAGUUAUGCUUCUUCACUCCGUUUUGACAUGUCACUUUAAAACAGCAAGUAGCAUAAAUUAAUACAUUAGUUUCACUUGUGAUGUCCUGUAGUUUAAAACUUAGCAAAUUACAAACAGCAUAGUUAACUCAAAGCAAUUCAGAAUAUAUAUAUAAAAAGGGGAAAAGUGUUAAUGUUGUAUAAAAGGGAUUCUUUUAAAGUGUUACUCCCUCUGUCAUAUCAGACAAAUUACAGAGGGCAGACUACAUCGAGAGUGAAAAGCUUUCUGCCUCUUUCUUCAAUGUGAUCAAAGGAUGUCCUUUCUCAUCAGAACACCCUCCAGUUCAGAAGUUGUUUUUACACAAUCUGAACAAAUCCAUAACUAAAAGUGUGUCUCUCGCUCCACUGUGUCCUAUCUAGUUUGUUUCAGUGCACAUCCUUACUAACAUACUAAAGCAUUGUGGGAAUGUAGUGAAAUUUUGUUGACAGUAAUAAUAAAACAUUGAGCAUG